rnacentral:rRNA from 1 species
AUUGAACGCUGGCGGCAGGCCUAACACAUGCAAGUCGAACGAGCGGCGGACGGGUGAGUAAUGUCUGGGAAUCUGCCCGAUGGAGGGGGAUAACUACUGGAAACGGUAGCUAAUACCGCAUACCAUCAGAUGUGCCCAGAUGGGAUUAGCUAGUUGGUGGGGUAACGGCUCACCGAGGCGACGAUCCCUAGCUGGUCUGAGAGGAUGACCAGCCACACUGGAACUGAGACACGGUCCAUACUCAUACGGGAGGCAGCAGUGGGGAAUAUGGCACAAUGGGCGGAAGCCUGAUGCAGCCAUGCCGCGUGUAUGAAGAAGGCCUUAGGGUUGUAAAGUACUUUCAGCGGGGAGGCGUUACCCGCAGAAGAAGCACCGGCUAACUCCGUGCCAGCCGCCGCGGUAAUUC